rnacentral:misc_RNA from 1 species
AAUUCUCAACCCCGGAGUUUUGACUCGGGGAUUGGACUUUGGAGUGUGCUGGCGUCCCGCGUCGGCUCCUCUUAAAUGCAUCAGCGGAAAUCUAACCUUUGGCUUUUUGAACGUCAGUGUGAUAAUUGUGUUGCGCUGUCUUUGAAGUCGGAGUUCCGCUUACAGUGGUCUUCGGACAACUCUUAUCAA